GGUGCCAGCAGCCGCGGUAAUUCCAGCUCCAAUAGCGUAUAUUAAAGUUGUUGCAGUUAAAAAGCUCGUAGUUGAAUUUCGGGAUCAAAUUGUCGGUCGUGCCUCGGUACGUACUGGCAUUAUUGGUUCCUCCCUUCUGAAGAACCGCGAUGUCAUUAAUUUGGUGUCGCGGGGAAUCAGGACUGUUACUUUGAAAAAAUUAGAGUGUUUAAAGCAGGCUCGCGCUUGAAUACAUUAGCAUGGAAUAAUGAAAUAGGACGUUUGAUUCUAUUUUGUUGGUUUCUAGGAUCGACGUAAUGAUUAAUAGGGAUAGUUGGGGGCAUUAGUAUUCAAUUGUCAGAGGUGAAAUUCUUGGAUUUAUUGAAGACUAACUACUGCGAAAGCAUUUGCCAAGGAUGUUUUCAUUAAUCAAGAACGAAAGUUAGGGGAUCGAAGACGAUCAGA
rnacentral:rRNA from 1 species